CAGCCAAUCCCCGGGCCCCGCCUCGCUCCCAACAGCCAAUCAGGAUCGGGGGCGGAGCUCCCCGCGGGAAAGGGCGGUGCCGCUGUGGGGAAUCCGGGAGCCGCGCUCCUGCGCUGGGCGCGCGGCCGCCGGCGGGGCGGGGCGGGGCGGCGCGGGCUGCGAGCGUCGCGGAAACGGCGCUGUACCGGGUCAUGGACAGAGCAGGGACGCUGGAGGCAUCGUCAGGACGCUGGUUCGAGGCCAACUUCUACCACGAACCAGCUCUUGGCCAUGACUACGCUACUCAGUCUUCCUGGGUGUUCUUUUUCUUUUUCUCUGGGGCAGGAAGAUAAAAACAGAACCGAGGGGAUGCACAGAACGCUCUGAUCACAGCGAUUGGCGUGCGGUGAAAUGUCUGGAAGUGCUAGCUGUUCCUGUAAGAGGCAGCAGGUUCAAAACCAGAGCUGGGCUGGGAGCGAGGACCCUGCACUGCCUCCCGGCCCACUGAUUUCACACUGACCAGGAAUGAGAGCGGGCCUGAUCCCCACCUUACCUGAGCUGACCAGCUGAGUCGCAACUAUGGCGGGAAGCGGAGGAGGUCCAGAGUCCAGGUCUGGAUGGGACGGAGAGACUCGGAGGGGUAGGCCGAACUGCUGGAGGGGUCAGCAGCAGGAGGAACCAGCCCUGGACGGAGCGGAGAAAAGAGGCCGGACACAAGCCACAGAGAACCCGUAUGUGUCCUGAGGACAGGAGACCACAGGGCCCGAGGCAGAGAGUCCCUGAGAACGAGGACCAGAAAGAGAUCAGAGGACCCCUGGAGACACAUGGUGUGGGGGCAGAGGAGAGGAGAGGAAACGGGGGCACAAAAAUAGACCUUUUGGAAAAGCCCAGCUGUCAAAGCAGGUGGGAAAUGGCCCCUGUUGAGGGCUUCUAAGGCAGUGGCGUUUGGAGAGCGAGGGAGGCGGGAGAGGAAGCAGGGUCAAGCAGCCACAGCAUGUGGGCGGGCCAUGCCGAGCAACAGGGAUUUCUGCCUCAGCUUCAAAUGACCUUUCACAGUCCCUGGCGAGCAGAGCCACUGGCUGUGGUCACGGAGAAAAUGAAAUCCAGCCCUUGGUCACUUUUGGCCCAAGAGAACCAUUGUGGCUUCAUGUAAUUGGUGAAAGAAGGGAAAUUAAAGGGGAAAAAAAGAAGACACACUGAAAUUUGCAGCCAUCUGCAGAAGCGCCUUGGGCUGGUGUCUGUACAGUCGCUAGUGCUCUUUCUGCGUGGACGACGAACCCACCUUCAGUCUGUCCAGAUGGAUGACAGCUCGUGGGAAAGUCCACCGACCACACCGAGGCCGGGGAGGGGCUGUUUCCUGUAACUUGCAGCGCCAUGACAGCAGGACCUGGCUGGACAAGCCCAAGCAUAAGACUUUCGAACACCUCUAGAUGCCAAUAAACAUUUUGAGUGAUCAAGUGCAGAAAAGACAAGACAGCAAUGACCGAGGCAUAACUGACUUUGCUUGGUGAACAGGACUGUUCCUACACUGAAGUCCGUUUUCUGGCAAGUUCCUCUGAGGAGGCAGUGAGGUAUGACGUCACCUAAGCCCCCAGUCCUAGCUGCCAAGGACCGGCCCUGAAUGUCAGGUGGCCAAGGAGUCUGAUUCUCCCAGGGUUCUCAGUUCUGUUCAUAGGUGCCCUUGCUCGUCACCCCCUCAUCCACGCCUGCUUCCUGCCUCUUCAGCCUUGACCCACAUUCCUGUAACAUAAAUGUUAUUUUUUUUUUUUUGACAGGCAGAGUGGACAGUGAGAGAGAGAGACAGAGAGAGAAAGGUCUUCCUUUUGCCGUUGGUUCACCCUCCAAUGGCCGCCGCUGCAGCCGGCGCACCGCGCUGAUCCUGGCAGGAGCCAGGAGCCAGGUGCUUUUCCUGGUCUCCCAUGGGGUGCAGGGCCCAAGCACCUGGGCCAUCCUCCACUGCACUCCCUGGCCAUAGCAGAGAGCUGGCCUGGAAGAGGGGCAACCGGGACAGAAUCCGGCGCCCCAACCGGGACUAGAACCCGGUGUGCUGGCGCCGCAAGGUGGAGGAUUAGCCUAUUGAGCCACGGCGCCGGCUAUAAAUGUUAUUUUU